UGCCAGCAGCCGCGGUAAUACGGAGGGGGCGAGCGUUAUUCGGAAUUAUUGGGCGUAAAGGGCGCGUAGGUGGCAUGGCAAGUCAGGGGUGAAAUCCCUCGGCUCAACCGAGGAACUGCCUCUGAAACUGCCAAGCUUGAGACCGGGAGAGGGUAGUGGAAUUCCUAGUGUAGCGGUGAAAUGCGUAGAUAUUAGGAGGAACACCGGUGGCGAAGGCGGCUACCUGGACCGGUUCUGACGCUGAGGCGCGAAAGUGUGGGGAGCGAACAGGAUUAGAUA
rnacentral:rRNA from 1 species